rnacentral:rRNA from 1 species
AUCCUGGCUCAGGAUGAACGCUAGCUACAGGCUUAACACAUGCAAGUCGAGGGGAAACGAUAUUGGAAGCUUGCUUCUGAUAGGCGUCGACCGGCGCACGGGUGAGUAACGCGUAUCCAACCUGCCCAUCACUUGGGGAUAACCUUGCGAAAGUAAGACUAAUACCCAAUGACGUCUCUAGAAGACAUCUGAAAGAGAUUAAAGAUUUUAUCGGUGAUGGAUGGGGAUGCGUCUGAUUAGCUUGUUGGCGGGGUAACGGCCCACCAAGGCGACGAUCAGUAGGGGUUCUGAGAGGAAGGUCCCCCACAUUGGAACUGAGACACGGUCCAAACUCCUACGGGAGGCAGCAGUGAGGAAUAUUGGUCAAUGGACGAGAGUCUGAACCAGCCAAGUAGCGUGCAGGAUGACGGCCCUAUGGGUUGUAAACUGCUUUUAUAAGGGAAUAAAGUGGGAGUCGUGACUCUUUUUGCAUGUACCUUAUGAAUAAGGACCGGCUAAUUCCGUG